rnacentral:rRNA from 1 species
GACGAACGCUGGCGGCGUGCUUAACACAUGCAAGUCGAACGGAAAGACCCUGCUUUUGUGGGGUGCUCGAGUGGCGAACGGGUGAGUAACACGUGAGUAACCUGCCCUUGACUUUGGGAUAACUUCAGGAAACUGGGGCUAAUACCGGAUAGGAGCUCCUGCUGCAUGGUGGGGGUUGGAAAGUUUCGGCGGUUGGGGAUGGACUCGCGGCUUAUCAGCUUGUUGGUGGGGUAGUGGCUUACCAAGGCUUUGACGGGUAGCCGGCCUGAGAGGGUGACCGGCAACAUUGGGACUGAGCUAGGGCCCAGACUCCUACGGGAGGCAGCAGUGGGGAAUAUUGCACAAUGGGCGGAAGCCUGACGCAGCAACGCCGCGUGCGGGAUGACGGCCUUCGGGUUGUAAACCGCUUUCGCCUGUGACGAAGCGUGAGUGGCGGUAAUGGGUAAAGAAGCACCGGCUAACUACGUG